rnacentral:rRNA from 1 species
UGAUGUGUAUACGCGACAGAGGUGAGAUUGACCAUUCCGCAAGUAAGUAAGAUCCCUGAAAGAUGCUCAGGUUGAUAGGUCUGAGGUGGAAGUGUGGCGACACAUGGAGCUCACAGAUACUACUCGAUCGAUUUUUCAAAAAAA